rnacentral:lncRNA from 1 species
CGGGUAAAUAUAUGGGUAAAUUACAAAUGCAUGGGAAAUACACCAUGUACAUGGCUCUGGUUUAUUUUUACUUGGAUUGCUGGUAGUUGGCGUUCUACUCCGAUAACAUUCAUGUUAUUAUAAAUUGCCAAAUAUAUGAAGAUAUACAUUUUAAUGAAAGUUUUAACCUAUUAUCAGAUAGUGAAAACAUCCUUUUUUCUUCAGUAACGACAGUUUUGCCGCUAUAAUUGCAAAAACCUGCAACAACAUUUCAUUAAGAAAAAACAUUGUUUUAUUUCACUAGUUUUUUAAGAAACAAAU